rnacentral:rRNA from 1 species
GAAUUUUGGACAAUGGGCGAAAGCCUGAUCCAGCCAUCCCGCGUGUGCGAUGAAGGCCUUCGGGUUGUAAAGCACUUUUGGCAGGGAAGAAAAGGCUCUGGCUAGUACCUGGAGCUGCUGACGGUACCUGCAGAAUAAGCACCGGCUAACUACGUGCCAGCACCCGCGGUAAUACGUAGGGUGCAAGCGUUAAUCGGAAUUACGGGGCGUAAAGCGUGCGCAGGCGGUUCGGCAAGAAGGAUGUGAAAUCCCAGGGCUUAACCUUGGAACUGCAUUCUUAACUGCCGGGCUAGAGUAUGUCAGAGGGGGGUAGAAUUCCGCGUGUAGCAGUGAAAUGCGUAGAGAUGCGGAGGAAUACCGAUGGCGAAGGCAGCCCCCUGGGAUAAUACUGACGCUCAUGCACGAAAGCGUGGGGAGCAAACAG